UAAUAAGUGUUUUAUGGCACUUUUUAAAAUCCAUAUCCACCUUGUGUGCAAUGUCAGUCGAUCUUCUUCAUGGAGAUCGACCAAACAUCAACCUUUAUUUUUUUAAACAUCUUUGUCUGAAAAUAUUAUGAAUAAACAAUUCAAAUA
rnacentral:misc_RNA from 1 species